rnacentral:rRNA from 1 species
AACGACUCUCAGCAACGGAUAUCUUGGCUCUUGCAACGAUGAAGAACGCAUCGAAAUGCGAUACCUAGUGUGAAUUGCAGAAUUCCGCGAAUCAUCGAGUCUUUGAACGCAAG